UCUCUGGACGUUUGUGGGCAGAGAUCCGGGCGGCUCCGCGCCCGUCGACGCCUCCUUCAGCAUGUUGAUGCUGUGGUACAUGUGCGGCUUCCACACGGGCAGCUACAUGGCUCAACAGCUGUUCAAGUCCAACUCCAAAGACUGAGAGCCAGAGAGCAUGAUGGGAGGAGUGGAGGUGGGCGGGCCUUUGUUGUGUUUCUCUCUGAGACGUCAGGCAGGUUUGGUUGAGAGUUUGGGUGUUUCUUUAAAUCGCUCUCCGUGUUCACUUUAAUGCUGUUGGUGGACGUUUGCUGAGGAGCGGCGGGCCGCAGCAGUCUGCGUUCACACGUUUGAAUGUUUCUGACUUUCCGUUGACUUUCUGCGUUCGCUCGCCGAAUCGAGACUGUUGAGAAUGAAAUGAAGAUAU